UAUUGUCUCAUCUUUCUAUUGAUACCAAAAUCUCAAUUUUGAAAUUUGGGUCACUGUGACUCAUUUUGUUGAUCAUUGAGUUUUUAAUCACAUUUUUAUGUGCAGAAGAGAGGUUUUGAUAGUUUUGUUAAGGUUUUACUGGUAAUCUGUCAAUGGGUCAAUUGGAAGUGAGCUAAUUUAUGUAAACAAAUAUGCACUGUACUGUUUAUCGAUGACAUCACUUACAGGAAGCAUGAAAACUGAAAUGAAACGUGUUUUAAUCUUUCAUGGUAAACAAAUUACCAUGAUUAAGUUUAAUGUUUAAUAAUUUAAUACCAAUUACACUGAAGAAAAAAACAUUUCUGUGAUUUCAGGAGUGAAAAAAUAAUUCUACAACAAACGGAGGCAACAGAGGGGAAAGGUCCAAGGGUGAGCUGCUGACAGAGAGAAGACUUCGCCAUACCGAGAUCCAGCAGCUUUUCCUGACAUUGCAAGUCGUUCGUUCCUGCUCCAUGCAAAUCUUCUCCAUUCAGCCCGCUGACAGUGUCCGGUAUUUUCAUCAGAGAGAUUUACAUUAUAAGAAGGUAAGUGUGAAUUCACAAAAUCAUUGUAAAUAACAUGUUUACAUAACACAACAUCAAAAGUUUUUUCAAGGUUAUAUAAUUUUUUUCUAAACCACAUUUUCUAGGCCGCUUGCCUUUCAGUUAUUGCAUGUGCGGACAGCGUAUUUUCAGAGGUUUAUAUCAGACGAAGUGAAGGUAAGUGCAAAUUCAUAAAACAAUUUUAAAUAGAGUAGUUACCAAAAACAUAAGAUUAAGUUUUGUUGAAUUAAAUUAGGUGUGUGUAUGUUGUAAAAAUAGUCUAGCUUAAAUUAGCUAGUUUGAUAAAUUGCUAACUGGUACUUAGCAACUGCUACAUACAUUUCUAAGAAGGUAUAAGUAAAAUAUUCACGUUUAUUAAUUAAUGCUAGUCUAGCUAGUGUGCAUUAGUUGUUAUCUUAUUUCUCUCUGACAAAUCAAAAUGACACUUUAUUCUCAACUGUCCUCAGAGGCUUCAAAUACAGCACUGAAGGAAGAGCUGCAGCUGACUGUUGAUUCAUGUGAGGCGGCCAAGGACAGAAAAGGUGUUUUACCAACAUACUUAAAAUAAAAUAUUUCAUAUUUGUUAAAGUCAGUGAUGGGUGUAACGCGUUACAAAGUAAUGUACAAGUUAUGUACAAAGUAAUAAUAUUACUUUUUUCAGUAACUGGUAGUGUAAGGCAUUACUCGUCUGAAAAUGGUAAUAUUAUUACAGUUUUCCCGAGCUAGUUACUUGCGUUACAUUUACCAGUAGCACCUUCAUCACACACAAGGCACACAACACAGAGAACAGAAGGGAAGGGGAGGAGGGCGUGAAUGGAACAGUGAUUGGUCUGGGUUUGGCACGAGGUAUCAUUUACCAUCACCGAUUGGUCGACACCCGGCAGCCAGCAGCAGAGCGGCACCCUCAAAGACAGAUGGGGAAAAAUGGAAGCGUCAACAACGGCAAGCUCUUUUUCAGAGGAAGGUUCCCAGCAACAGAAAGCUAGUUUCGACGGGUGGAGAUUCAGUCAUUAUUUUGAAUAUGUUCAACGGAAGGAAAAUAACUUGACGGUGAAGUGCACACUCUGCCCGGGGAGAAAGCUGCUCUCCACCGCUUGUAACUCUACCUCCAACUUGAAGAAGCACAUGCAGCGACAGCACGGACACAUCAAGCUUGUUUCGAAGCGACAGAGUGACAUGAACGAGCAGCCCCACAAGCAGCAAAAACUUUCAUUUGAACAUAAAGUACUACCAACAUCAAAAUCUGAGAUAAAUAAGCUUGUUGCCUCGUACGUAGUAGAAGAAAUGUUACCUCUUUCUACCGUCGAAUCGCUGUCUUUUAGAAAGAUACUCUGCAAAAUACCGAUAGCAGGGACAGACCAGCCGUUUUCCGACAGGAAAACCUUCGCAAUGUACCUAGAUAAAUGUUACGCCAUGAUGGAAAGUGAGCUGAAGAAAAUGUUUGAGAGCACUGAGUAUGUGUCAACGACCGCUGACAUCUGGACUUGUCACAGUUGUUUGUAGUUAUUUGUGCUAGACAGUGCCAGUCUGUUGUUGGCGUAAUAAAGACCCUAAAGAACACUCCUCCUUUAUAUGUUCUCCCUCCAUCUGAUGCAUCUCAGGCAAUUAUAGAGUAAUUAAGAAAAAAAAAAAAAUUUUUUACUAGUAAUAUAACUAGUUACUUUCUCCAGGGAGUAAUAAAGUAAAGUAAGGCAUUACUAUUUUUGAGAGUAAUAUGUAAUAUAUUACUUUUUUGAGUUACUAGCCCCAACACUGGUUAAAGUGCAGUGUAAAUUUCACUCCUGUUGUUCUAUUAUGGUGUAAUUUACUCUCUCUCUCUAUAUAUAUAUCUAUCUAUCUAUCUAUCUAUCUAUCUGUUACGUAUGCUGGUGUAGAGAUGAGGCUGAUACGGAUUUCCACAAUACGAACAAUACAUUUAUUAAACAGAAGGCAGAGAUCACCCAACAUACAUCUUAACAAAACAGAGAAAGGACGAGGAGUGAAGGGAGUGAGUGCAAUAUAUGGGGAGUGCUGACAAUAGAGUCCAGGUGCAGGUGAUGAGUGCUGAUGAGGAGCUGACGAGGGAAGUGAGUGCAGGUGUGGAAACAGGAGGAUU